AGAGUUUGAUCUCUGGCUCAGGAUGAACGCUGGCGGCGUGCCUAAUACAUGCAAGUCGAACGCACAGCGAAAGGUGCUUGCACCUUUCAAGUGAGUGGCGAACGGGUGAGUAACACGUGGAUAACCUACCUCAAGGUUGGGGAUAACAUUUGGAAACAGAUGCUAAUACCGAAUAAAACUUCGUAUCGCAUGAUACAAGGUUAAAAGGCGCUACGGCGUCACCUAGAGAUGGAUCCGCGGUGCAUUAGUUAGUUGGUGGGGUAAAGGCCUACCAAGACAAUGAUGCAUAGCCGAGUUGAGAGACUGAUCGGCCACAUUGGGACUGAGACACGGCCCAAACUCCUACGGGAGGCUGCAGUAGGGAAUCUUCCACAAUGGGCGAAAGCCUGAUGGAGCAACGCCGCGUGUGUGAUGAAGGCUUUCGGGUCGUAAAGCACUGUUGUAUGGGAAGAACAGCUAGAGUAGGGAAUGACUUUAGUUUGACGGUACCAUACCAGAAAGGGACGGCUAAAUACGUGCCAGCAGCCGCGGUAAUACGUAUGUCCCGAGCGUUAUCCGGAUUUAUUGGGCGUAAAGCGAGCGCAGACGGUUGAUUAAGUCUGAUGUGAAAGCCCGGAGCUCAACUCCGGAAAGGCAUUGGAAACUGGUCAACUUGAGUGCAGUAGAGGUAAGUGGAACUCCAUGUGUAGCGGUGGAAUGCGUAGAUAUAUGGAAGAACACCAGCGGCGAAGGCGGCUUACUGGACUGUAACUGACGUUGAGGCUCGAAAGUGUGGGUAGCAAACAGGAUUAGAUACCCUGGUAGUCCACACCGUAAACGAUGAA
rnacentral:rRNA from 1 species